rnacentral:tRNA from 1 species
GGAGAGGUGCCAGAGUGGUUGAAUGGGCCGGUCUCGAAAACCGGUAUGGGCCUAUGGUCCAUCGAGGGUUCGAAUCCCUCCCUCUCCGCCA